CUUCUAUCAAUCUUAGUGGCGAACGGGUGAGUAACGCGUAAUCAACCUGCCCUUCAGAGGGGGACAACAGUUGGAAACGACUGCUAAUACCGCAUACGAUCUAAUCUCGGCAUCGAGGAUAGAUGAAAGGUGGCCUCUAUUUGUAAGCUAUCACUGAAGGAGGGGAUUGCGUCUGAUUAGCUAGUUGGAGGGGUAACGGCCCACCAAGGCGAUGAUCAGUAGCCGGUCUGAGAGGAUGAACGGCCACAUUGGGACUGAGACACGGCCCAGACUCCUACGGGAGGCAGCAGUGGGGAAUCUUCCGCAAUGGACGAAAGUCUGACGGAGCAACGCCGCGUGAGUGAUGACGGCCUUCGGGUUGUAAAGCUCUGUUAAUCGGGACGAAAGGCCUUCUUGCGAAUAGUGAGAAGGAUUGACGGUACCGGAAUAGAAAGCCACGGCUAACUACGUGCCAGCAGCCGCGGUAAUACGUAGGUGGCAAGCGUUGUCCGGAAUUAUUGGGCGUAAAGCGCGCGCAGGCGGAUAGGUCAGUCUGUCUU
rnacentral:rRNA from 1 species